GUCUAAUCAAAACUUUUACGAAUUCUACGAACCGUCAACCCUUUACCUUUCUUCAUAUUCUACGAAUCGUCGAACCCUUCACCUUUAGAUUAAUCUCGAUACGUUUCCAUUUCAUUUCAUCCACUUCAUCUUCUUCUCUCUUCAUUUCUUAGUUACACGACCGAUCUAUCUAAUUUGAUUCAACAUCACUCAGUACCACCGCCACUUACCAACGAACAACUGUCUCUCCAUCACUCAAAAAACAGAACAAUUUUACGCUUUUAGUCUCCAAAACUUCAUUUUUUCUUUGUUCGCAAGCAUUGGAAACAUCCAACGGAGCAUCAUCCAAGCAAACACACAGUAGAGUUUUUCUUUUUAAUGGAAAUGGGAGGAGAUUUUGCUAAAUAAAUUUGAUGCUGUGACAUAUAGAGUUCUGGCAUACUUUCUUCUGGGUUUAGUCAGGAUAUACUCCAAAAAACGUUGAAUAUCUGUUUGAUGCUUGCAAUGAUGUAUUUAUUAAGAUUAAUGACUUUGUGGUUGGUGAAAAAAGUAAGUCACGGAAGGGAAAACUGAGUUUACCGUAUUAUGCUAUUACUGUACCAAACAGGUUUGAACUUGAUGCUUUUGAUCUGGAGAUUCUUGCAAUAAGAAGGUACUUUAUCAGAAAAAAUUGCAAUAAGAAGGUACUCAAGAUACCUGAGUUACUUGAAAUCUGCUACUACUCCUGAUGGAGAUGGUGAUCUUGAUAGCUUGAUGACCGGCGAAAUAAAAAAGAAGCUCAAGACUAUUCCUGAAAAUGUGAGUAUGUGAUGUAAGUCGUCUACCUCUUUUCAAAUAGAAAAUCGAAGUGAAUGGUUUGAUAUUUUACUCAAGAUUUUGUUUAUACUUUUGACUGAUGAGGAGGGCAAUCGGAUUACGUAUUCACACAACUUCAAGGUGAUUUUAUGAGACCCAGGAUUAAUGAGGUGGAUGAGCUACUUCAAAAAGGGGUGAAUGUCACCAUAUGCAAUGGACAAGUAAACCAUUUUUAUAUUUAUAAUCAAGAGUCCUUUUCAGCAGAAACAUAAAACCUUAGAAAAUGGGUUGCCCAUAUUCUUGUGGACCACCCCAUUAUCAAACCAUUUUCAAUUUUUUGGUUUAACUGUGAUUAUGACAUGAUUUUGUGGUUAACUGUAGUUGGACGUAAUUUGUACAAUAAAGAGAACUGAAGCAUCGAAUUUAUUAAAUAUAGCAGAUAUAUCCACCUCUUAGAUAGAUCUCAGAGUUGCUUUGGGAUCAGGUUGUGUUAGAGCUGGGCAAGGCACCGGUCCCUUGCGGGCCCGGGCCUAGGCCCGUUUGAUUUGGGACCAGUCUCUCAUGGGCCUGGGAUC